CCGAGUGUGCACGGCAGCUGCAGCCCCAGUUCACACUGGAGUCUUUGGACACUAUUUGAGGAGUUAUUUAUAACCACGUCUGCUAGACUUGGUCUAGGUCAGACAAGAGAGUGUCGAAGACCAAGGGAACCUGUAAGGCUCGGCUGCUACUGUGGGAAAACUGGAAAGAUUGAAUGUCCUUUGGAGUUCACAAAGGUUUGGCAGUGGGAUGAGAAAAACAAAACGAAGCAUAGUGGGAGUGUUGAACAGACUUUCCCAAGAUUCCCAGAGUUCUUUAUGCAUUCCAGAUAUGAAUCUUCUGCUGGCUGUGUAAUUUGUACCUUCGUUUCCUCAGCCAUAGCAUGAUACAGCUUAUCGCUCUGCAGGAGAGUAUGGAACUCAGGAAAAGCAAAGCUACUACAAGAGCUCACUACAUCAAUGCGUGUUCAUUACACAGACCAUCCUAGGAGAGUGUGCAUCAUCACAGGCGGCUCUGAGGUCUGUGCCCAAUCAAGCAAAGAACAACAGUGAUAAUCACACUGUGCAGAGGGUGACCAAUUUAGAAAAAAAAGACUCUUAAGAAGAUCGUCCAACAUCCAAAGAUUAAUGACUUUGAUUAAUUUUACACCUUUUACCAAUUAAUUGCACUUAUGAGCCUUCCUUGUCAAUUACUGCAUUCUCACUUUCAGCAAUUUAACUAAUCUUGGCCUAUUCAUAUUUGUUUUUUAAAUAGGUAUUUCCAAUUAUUGAUAUGAAUCUUCAUAAUUAUAUUACAUAUGUUUCACCAUAUUUAUUCAUUCUUCAUUGAGAUGAAAUAAAGAUCUAUUAUUGACACUUAAAACA
rnacentral:lncRNA from 13 species